rnacentral:rRNA from 1 species
CACGUAGGGCGCGAGCGUUGUCCGGAAUUAUUGGGCGUAAAGAGCUCGUAGGUGGUUUGUCGCGUUGUUCGUGAAAACUCACAGCUUAACUGUGGGCGUGCGGGCGAUACGGGCAGACUUGAGUACUGCAGGGGAGACUGGAAUUCCUGGUGUAGCGGUGGAAUGCGCAGAUAUCAGGAGGAACACCGGUGGCGAAGGCGGGUCUCUGGGCAGGUACAGACGCUGAGGAGCGAAAGCGUGGGGAGCAAACAGG